UACAUACAUAACUGACUGUUCAGGUACCAGUGAUUUGUGUACACCUACAAAUGCAGCUUACACUGCCACAUCAGAUGUUUCAAUAAAUAAAUUUUUCUUGACAAUAUCAUCGGUGUCCUAUGCAAGUUGUGGUUCCUACACCUGUAUCGAUUCAACAGACCCCGGAAACAUUAAGUCUGAUAGCAUCCAGCUGAGAGUGUCUGCACCAGCUUCAGAUUGUGGUUUUGAAACUAGUAUCAACAAUGAGUCAACUGUGUUAGUUACAACAAAAUGUGUAUACCCUCUAGACAACUACAAGGUCAAUUGGACUCUAAUAUAUCAGGGUGUUGAAGAAGAUAUAGCAGGAAGUGAUGAAACAGUCCCCAUUGUUGCUGCCUCUUACUGUGGAGAUACUUGUGGAAUACAAAGUGUCUCAAAGAUAACCACUUCACAUACUCCAGAACUUAGCAGCGCUGGAAGAGAAGUACAGUACAAGGUUGUAAUUUACUUACCAGGAUGUGCCUCACCGUUGACUUGGACAUCUACAAACACAUACACAAUUAAAGAAGAAAGUUAUGU